rnacentral:rRNA from 1 species
CAUGGCUCAGGACGAACGCUGGCGGCGUGCUUAACACAUGCAAGUCGAACGAUGAACCACUUCGGUGGGGAUUAGUGGCGAACGGGUGAGUAACACGUGGGCAAUCUGCCCUGCACUCUGGGACAAGCCCUGGAAACGGGGUCUAAUACCGGAUACUGACCCUCGCAGGCAUCUGCGAGGUUCGAAAGCUCCGGCGGUGCAGGAUGAGCCCGCGGCCUAUCAGCUUGUUGGUGAGGUAAUGGCUCACCAAGGCGACGACGGGUAGCCGGCCUGAGAGGGCGACCGGCCACACUGGGACUGAGACACGGCCCAGACUCCUACGGGAGGCAGCAGUGGGGAAUAUUGCACAAUGGGCGAAAGCCUGAUGCAGCGACGCCGCGUGAGGGAUGACGGCCUUCGGGUUGUAAACCUCUUUCAGCAGGGAAGAAGCGAAAGUGACGGUACCUGCAGAAGAAGCGCCGGCUAACUACGUGCCAGCAGCCGCGGUAAUACGUAGGGCGCAAGCGUUGUCCGGAAUUAUUGGGCGUAAAGAGCUCGUAGGCGGCUUGUCGCGUCGGUUGUGAAAGCCCGGGGCUUAACCCCGGGUCUGCAGUCGAUACGGGCAGGCUAGAGUUCGGUAGGGGAGAUCGGAAUUCCUGGUGUAGCGGUGAAAUGCGCAGAUAUCAGGAGGAACACCGGUGGCGAAGGCGGAUCUCUGGGCCGAUACUGACGCUGAGGAGCGAAAGCGUGGGGAGCGAACAGGAUUAGAUACCCUGGUAGUCCACGCCGUAAACGGUGGGCACUAGGUGUGGGCGACAUUCCACGUCGUCCGUGCCGCAGCUAACGCAUUAAGUGCCCCGCCUGGGGAGUACGGCCGCAAGGCUAAAACUCAAAGGAAUUGACGG